rnacentral:rRNA from 1 species
CAAUAGUGGACAAUGAUUCUGCUGCAGUUAAAAAGCUCGUAGUUGGAUUUUUGGUUUUUAUGGUUGUUGUUUUGCAUUUAUUUGCUUAAUUGACUUCAAUUCUAGCCUUUUGUGAGAAAUACUUUUGUAUGUCUCGCCUUUUACUGUGAGGAAAUCCAAGUGCUCAAAGCAUGUCGUAUGACAAGAAGGCUUCAGCACGGAAUGAUAAGACACGACCAUCGUCGCUCUUGUUGGUUUAGCAAUGUGGUAAUGAUUAACAGGAACGGUUGGGGUAAUUCGUAUUAAUACGUCAGAGGUGAAAUUCUUGGAUUGUAUUAAGACGAACGAAAGCGAAAGCAUUUUACAAGGAUGUUUUCAUUAAUCAAGAACGAAAGUCUGGGGAUCGAAGACGAUUAGAUACCAU